CUUUCGCAUUUAUGCUCCAACCCAGACCUCCACUGACGCUUCCUCUUCUCCCUCCCUCUAUUCAGUUUCCACCGAUAUACCACUUCCAAGCUUUUAAUUUUAUUGUGAAAUUCUUCUUUGAUUCUUUCUGGAUUAGUCUGGCUGAAUAGAUUCAGACAACGGAGGAGCAAAAAAACAAAAAAAAACAGGCGCCAAGCUUGAGACAGAGUGUUGUUUCCCAUCCCCCAAAAAACAAUCGUUUUUUUUUUUUUGGUUUCUUUUCAAUAACAAACUCCUGCCUCGUCAUAAGUUCUUCUGCCUAAAUCUUGAUGGAUUGAAGUGGUUCGGGGUUAGGAUAUAAGAAUAUCUGUUCCAUUGUUUCGUUUACUUUUGAUUCUGCUACUUUCUGUUAUAUAAAGUUUUGGGAUUCCAUAUUUUUUUUUUCUGUGGAGGGGUUGUGCUUAUUAUUAGAAUUGUUGGACUUUGAUAUUGGGGAUACUUUCGUUUUGUUUGUUUGUUGUUAAACUAUCAAUGGGGAAGCCCACCGGUAAGAAGAAGGAUCCUGUAACACAUAAGGCUGCGCAUGCAAGCGGCAAGCAGAGCAAGCCCUCUGAGAGGACUUCCAAAGCUUUCGACGAAGACACGGCAAUCUUCAUCAACAUGUCACAGGAUCUCAAGGAAGAAGGCAAUAGACUCUUUCAGAAAAGGGAUCAUGAGGGGGCUGUGUUGAAGUAUGAAAAGGCCCUCAAGCUCCUUCCCGGAAACCACAUAGAUGUGGCACACUUGCGUACCAAUAUGGCUGCGUGUUAUAUGCAACUCGGUCUUGGAGAAUACCCUCGAGCAAUCAAUGAAUGUAAUCUAGCUCUUGAAGUAUCACAAAGAUAUAGCAAGGCUCUAUUGAGAAGAGCAAAGUGCUAUGAAGCAUUGAAUCGAUUCGAUUAUGCGCUCAGAGAUGUUAAUUUUGUUUUGACCGUGGAGCCUAAUAAUCUCAAUGCAUUGGAGAUUCUUGGGAGUUUGAAAAAGACCAUGGAAGAAAAAGGCAUCACUAUUGAUGAGAAAGAUUUGGCAAGUUUGGAGCAACCUACCGCUGCCCCUGUGAGCAAAGUGGUAAGAGAAAAAAUAAAGAAAAAGAAAAGUAAAAAGAGUGAGAGCAAGGCAAAGGAUAAGGUGAUUCUUGAGGAUACUGCGAAUGCUGUUAAAGAUAAAGAAGUGGUGUCAAAAACAAUUGCGAAAAAGGAAGUGGUUCUGGAGCCUGUUAAAGAAGAAAAAGUAGUCACAAGGACGGCGAAGUUGGUAUUUGGAGAGGAUAUAAGGUGGGCGCAGUUGCCAUUGAAUUGUAGCAUGAGGUUGGUGAGGGAUAUAAUUAAGGAUCGAUUUGCUGGAUUGAAGGGUGUUCUUGUUAAAUAUAAGGAUCAAGAGGGUGAUUUGGUUACCAUCACUACUACUGAUGAAUUAAGAUUAGCUGAAUCUUCAGGUGAUGCCUUGGGUUCUCUUCGACUCUAUAUUACGGAAGUCAAUCCAGAGAAGGAACCGACUUAUGAUGGAAUAACCAAUGGGGAUGAGAUGCCAGGUGAUGGUAUUGAGCAUGCGCCAAAGGAAGCAGGCAAGGAUUUGGCGAAUAAGCUGACUAAUGUGGAGGAUUGGAUAAUCCAAUUUGCUAGGAUGUUCAAGAACCAUGUUGGGUUUGAUUCUGAUUCAUAUUUGGAUAUGCAUGAGGUGGGAAUGAAGCUAUAUUCAGAAGCCUUGGAAGAUGUGGUAACGAGUGACGAUGCUCAAGAGCUUUUUGAAAUCGCUGCAGAUAAAUUUCAAGAGAUGGCGGCUUUGGCAUUAUUUAAUUGGGGUAAUGUUCACAUGUCCAGGGCAAGGAGGCGUGUUUCCAUUUCAGAGGAUGGGUCAAAAGAAUCUGCUCAUGAGCGAAUUAAAGCUGCAUAUGAGUGGGCAAGAAAGGAGUACAAGAAAGCAGAGAUGAGAUAUGAAGAAGCCUUGAAAAUGAAACCAGACUUCUAUGAGGGAUUUCUGGCACUUGGCCAUCAGCAGUUCGAGCAAGCAAAGCUCUGCUGGUAUUAUGCAUUGGCAUGCAAAAUGAAUUUAGAGGAUGGCCCUUCCAGUGAGGUUUUACAACUAUAUAACAAGGCAGAGGACAGCAUGGAUAGAGGCAUGCUGAUGUGGGAGGAGAUUGAAGAGCAGCGUUUAAAUGGACUAUCCAAAUUUGAUAAAUAUAGAGCGCAUUUGGAAAAAAUGGGCUUAGAUGGUCUUCUCAAGGAUAUUUCUUCUGAUGAAGCUGCAGAGCAGGCUACAAAUGUGAGGUCCCAAAUAUAUAUUUUAUGGGGCACCAUAUUGUAUGAGCGUUCUGUUGUGGAAUAUAAGAUUGGCUUAUCUUCAUGGGAGGAAUGUCUGGAGGUUGCUGUUGAGAAGUUUGAACUUGCCGGAGCUUCUCCAACAGAUAUAGGGGUCAUGAUAAAGAAUCAUUGUUCCAAUCAAACAGCACUAGAAGGUUUGGGUUUCAAAAUCGACGAGAUAGUACAGGCGUGGAAUGAAAUGUAUGAUGCUCAGAGGUGGCAAUUUGGUGUACCAUCGUUUCGCCUUGAACCACUGUUCCGGCGGCGUGUUCCGAGACUUCAUCACAUCUUGGAGCAUUUUUGAGUUUUCUUCAAGAGCUUGAAAUUCUUUGGAGGCAUAUAUUCAUGCCUCUGUUUCUUAAUAUUUGUGAUGGCUUUUUCAUCCCAUUUAAAACAGGGCUUUCGUACGCUCAUGGAUUAAUCGUCUCUCGAGACAUCACUGUAAAAGCGUGUUAUAUCUGAAGUUUUGGGCAUAUAUACUUUUGGCAAUGCAAGGGGACAUGUGUCGUUGCAUUGUGUUGACCAACAACAUUUGUGAGAACAAUGUUGAUGCUCUGUUUUCUUGGAUGAUAGAGAAACAUAGUGAAACCAUAGGUCUUGAGUUUGUGUGCUUUUCGAUUGUACAGAGAAUUUUUUUUCAAUGUUUCAAGCAACAUUUGAAACAUGCUUGCUUUCCUUGUUUGGUGUUUUCAAUUUCACCAUUGUUAAAAUCAUGAGGGUGUACUGAAUUGAUGGAUUUCUUGUCUUU